UGACUUGAGACUCCAGUGUUUGUGUGGAUGUGAAGUCUCUGAGUGUACAGACAGGAAUUCGGCUGCUGCAGGACUUUUCUCCCCGAGUCAGACUUGUGUCUUUUUGGCGCCUGUCGCGGACAGCGUAGAUAAAACCAGCGUGACAGAUGCGAAAAUGCGAGAAGAAACCCAGGAAGAGAGCGUGUGCUUAUUAAAAAUUCAGCGCGGGAGAACAGACAUUAUCGCCGUUUCAGACGUGUGGCAGCACUGAGGAGAGACUAAAGCACUGGCGGACUUCAAACAUCUCUCAACGGACUGAAACCAAGCGGGGUUUUCCUCGAAAAGACGAGCUUUCUCUCAACGUCCAAAACCCAGAGGGAAGGGGAGGAGAGGGGGGCUAAGAAAACGCCCUGCCGCCGCCGCCGCCGCUGCUGCUGCUGAAGCCUGUUGCUGCUGUCUCCAAAUUCAAACUUUGUCGCUGAGUUGUGGAAAAAAAAAAUGCACCCUUCAUUUACCGGGAGGUGAAAAUUCAUGUGUACCGUUUUGUAUGUGUAUGUGUGUUAGCUCAGAGUCGCUGGCUAACCGAAGGCCCCCUCACUUUUCUAAGUUUUUUUCCAAGUCUCUUCGCUUUGGGAAUAUUUUCAUUGUGCACACUAUUCCUGUUGGAGGCGAGUUGGGUGGGCUGAGAGCCCAGGGCUGCUCCGCUAGGCCCACGGCCAUUAGCGACGAACAAAGAGGGUUCAUGUAAAUUCAAACAGUUUGGAAACCUGCUCCGAUAUUAGUCAACUGUUUAGAACCAUCACUGCCGUCGCAGUCAUGUCGCUGGGCGCAGAGAGGAGGCUGGAAACCCGGCUGAAGAGGCUGGAGGACAUGAUCAGAGACCCCAGGUCCUCCGUCAACUUGGAAAGUUUGCUGGACUCCAUGAACGCCCUGGUCUUAGACUUGGACUACCCUGCACUACGCAAGAACAAAAACAUUGAAAACUUCAUAAACAGAUAUGAGAAAGUCAUAGGACAAAUUCGAGACCUCCAGAUGAAGUCUGAAGACUUUGACAGAGUGAAAGUCAUUGGUCGAGGGGCAUUUGGUGAAGUCCAGCUGGUCAGACAUAAAGCCUCACAGAAGGUUUACGCCAUGAAGCUCCUGAGCAAGUUUGAAAUGAUCAAGCGCUCAGACUCUGCCUUUUUCUGGGAAGAGAGGGACAUCAUGGCUUUCUCUAACAGUCCGUGGGUUGUGCAGUUGUGCUGUGCCUUCCAAGAUGAGCACUACCUCUACAUGGUGAUGGAAUACAUGCCAGGAGGUGACUUGGUCAAUCUGACCAGCACCUAUGAUGUACCGGAGAAAUGGGCCAAGUUCUACACAGCAGAGGUUGUGAUGGCCUUGGAUGCUAUUCACUCCAUGGGCUUCAUCCACCGUGACGUCAAGCCAGAUAACAUGCUCCUGGACAGACUUGGACACCUCAAACUGGCCGAUUUUGGCACAUGCAUGAAGAUGGACUCAACCGGCAUGGUGCAUUGUGACACAGCAGUUGGGACUCCAGACUACAUCUCUCCUGAGGUGCUCAAGUCCCAGGGAGGAGACGGAUAUUAUGGGAGAGAAUGUGACUGGUGGUCUGUAGGGGUCUUCAUCUUUGAGAUGCUUGUUGGUGACACGCCUUUCUAUGCGGACUCUCUGGUGGGAACGUACAGUAAAAUAAUGGACCACAAGAACUCGCUAAAUUUCCCAGAUGAUGUAGAUAUCUCCAAAGAUGCUAAGAAUAUCAUCUGUGCUUUCCUGACUGACAGGGAGGUACGAUUAGGCAGGAACGGCGUGGAGGAAAUCAAACGACAUCCUUUCUUCAAGAAUGACCUGUGGACUUUCGACACCAUCAGAGACGCGGUUGCCCCUGUGGUCCCAGAGCUGAGCAGUGACAUAGACACCAGUAACUUUGAUGAGAUUGAAGAAGACAAAGGUGAUGUGGAAACAUUCCCCACACCUAAGGCCUUUGUUGGAAACCAGUUACCGUUUGUUGGCUUCACUUACUUCAAAGAAGACCAAUUGUUAAAUGCCUCCAACAAUUCUUCCGUGUCCCAUGAGAAUUCAAAAGGAGAGUCAGCAGCACUACAGAAGAAACUUCACCACGUAGAGGUGCAGCUCAAUAAUGAGAAACAGGCCAAAGAUGAUCUGGAGCACAAAUACAGAGCUGCCACUAGUCGUCUGGACAAAAUCUCUAAAGAGCUUGAGGAUGAGGUGAGUGGAAGGAAGAACCUGGAGUCGAGUCUGAGACAGCUGGAGAGAGAGAAGGCACUGCUGCAGCACAAGAGCCUGGAGAGCAGCCGGAAGGCAGAGAACGAGGCUGACAGGAAGCGCUGCCUGGAGAAUGAAGUGAACGGCCUGCGAGACCAGCUGGAUGACAUGAAGAGAAGAAACCAGAAUUCACACAUUUCAAAUGAGAAGAAUAUUCACCUGCAGAAACAGCUCGAAGAGGCCAACACGCUGCUUCGGGCCGAGUCUGAGGCAGCGACGAGGCUCCGUAAAGCCCAGACUGAAAACAGCAAGCAGCUGCAGCAGCUAGAGGCCAACGUACGCGAACUGCAGGACAAAUGCUGCCUGCUGGAGCGCAGCAAGCUCAGUCUGGAGAAGGAAUGCAUCAGCCUGCAGGCGGCUCUGGAGACGGAGAGGCGAGAGCAUAGCCAGGGCUCAGAGACCAUCAGUGACCUUAUGGGACGGAUCUCUGGUCUGGAGGAGGAGGCACGUCAGCAGAGACAGGCUCUGGCCAAAGCUGACACUGAGAAGAGACAGCUUCAGGAGAAACUCACUGAUCUGGAGAAAGAGAAGAGCAACAAAGAGAUUGAUUUGACCUACAAGCUGAAGGUGCUGCAACAGGAGCUGGAGCAGCAGGAGACUUCUCACAAGGCCACCAGGGCAAUGCUGGCGGACAAGAGCAAGAUCAAGGUGACCAUUGAGGGCGCCAAGUCAGAGUCCAUGAAGGAGAUGGAACAGAAGCUGGCGGAGGAGCGAGCAGCCAAACUGCGCCUAGAGAACAGAAUACUGGAGCAGGAGAAACACAGCAGCAUGAUGGACUGUGACUAUAAACAGGCCUUGCAGAAACUUGAUGAGCUGCGCAGACAUAAGGACCGCCUCACUGAGGAGGUGAAGAACUUGACGCUGAAGAUCGAGCAGGAGACACAGAAACGCACGCUGACUCAGAACGACCUGAAGGCCCAGAUACAGCAGCUCAAUGCUCUGAGAACCUCGGAGAAACAGCUCAAACAGGAAACUAAUCACCUGCUGGACAUUAAACGCAGCUUGGAGAAACAGAACCAAGAGCUGCGCAAAGAACGGCAGGACACUGACGGGCAGAUGAAGGAGUUACAGGACCAGUUAGAAGCCGAACAGUAUUUCUCUACAUUGUACAAGACCCAGGUUCGUGAACUGAAGGAGGAGUGUGAGGAGAGGAACAAACUCCUUAAAGAUGUUCAGCAGUCUCUGCAGGAUCUACAGGAGGAGAGGGACUCACUGGCGGCUCAACUGGAGAUCACUCUGACAAAGGCUGACUCGGAGCAGCUGGCACGCUCCAUUGCUGAGGAGCAGUACUCAGACCUGGAGAAGGAGAAGAUAAUGAAGGAGCUGGAACUGAAGGAGAUGAUGGCCCGGCAUCGCCAAGAGCUGGCUGAGAAGGACAUCACCAUUGGCUCACUGGAGGAGGCCAAUCGCACCCUGACCAGUGAUGUUGCCAACCUCGCCAAUGAGAAGGAGGAGCUGAACAACAAACUGACGGAGGCAAUUGAAGAGUCAGAGAAGUCAAAGGAUUGGGAGCAGCAGAUCAGCCAGAUGAGGCUGGGAUUUGAGAAGCAGCUGCAGUCUGAGAGGACGCUGAAAACACAGGCCGUCAAUAAGCUGGCAGAGAUCAUGAACAGGAAGGAGGUGCGUGGUGGAGGCAGUCGCCGCGGUAACGACACAGACAUGCGGCGAAAGGAGAAGGAGAACAGGAAGCUGCAGUUGGAGUUGAGGUCGGAGAAGGAAAAGCUCAACAGCACCAUCAUCAAAUACAACAGAGAGAUCAACGAAAUGCAAGCACAACUGGCAGAUGAGAGCCUGAUGCGUAUUGAGCUGCAGAUGGCCCUGGACAGUAAAGACAGUGAUAUCGAGCAGCUGAGAAAUCUUCUGCAGUCGCUCAGUGUUCAGUCAAUGGACUCUGCCAGUGUGAGCAGUGGACCAGAGUUUGAUGCUGAUGAUGCGUACACAGAAACAAGACUUGAGGGGUGGCUCUCUCUCCCCGUGAGAAACAACACAAAGAAGUUUGGAUGGGCGAAAAAGUAUGUUGUAGUGAGCAGCAAGAAGAUUCUCUUCUACAACAGUGAGCAAGACAGAGAGCAGUCUAUUCCCUACAUGGUGCUUGACAUAGACAAGCUCUUCCACGUGAGGCCUGUCACUCAAACUGAUGUGUACCGUGCCGAUGCCAAAGAAAUCCCCAGGAUAUUCCAGAUUCUUUAUGCCAAUGAAGGUGAGAGCAAAAAGGAGCCAGAGUUUCCUGUUGAGCCACUGCCCAUCGGAGAGAAAUCCAGCUACAUCUGCCACAAGGGCCACGAGUUCAUCCCCACACUCUACCACUUCCCCACCAACUGUGAGGCGUGCACCAAGCCGCUGUGGAACAUGUUCAAGCCGCCGCCUGCUCUGGAGUGUCGACGCUGUCACAUCAAGUGCCACAAAGACCACAUGGACAAGAAGGAGGAUAUUAUUGCUCCCUGCAAAGUAAACUAUGACAUAUCUACGGCCAAGAACCUGCUGCUGCUGGCCGUGUCCCAGGAGGAGCAGCAGAAGUGGGUGAGCCGGCUGGUCAAGAAGAUUCCCAAGAAGCCUCCGCCGGCAGAGCACUUUGCACGCUCAUCGCCACGCACCUCCAUGAAGGUCCAGGCCAGCCAGUCCAUGAGGAGGCCCAGUCGACAGCUCCCCACCAGCAAGAGCAGAUUGGAGGAAUUUGGUCUCCAGGACUGGCACUGGGCGUUGGAUGAUAUCGAUGAUGACUGUUCCUCUAUUCAUUUCUGAUGACUACAUAUGGUAACACUGUGUGUGCUGUGCUGUGCAGUGAUUUCAGCAGCAUAGACCCUCGAGUGUUUCAAUACCCUCUGCUGCUUAUUCUCUUCAGUCUUACGGCAGCUCUUUAACCUCGAUUCUGAGAGAAUUUCAGAAAUGUCUCCACCUAUGUGACCGUGCAUUCUUUGACCUUAGCCCUCGCAGGUCAAAUGGCUUCAAAGUGAGGCGAGGAGACUCCAACAGUGAAGGGUUUCAAUGACGACUUCCGCAAUCCUUUGCUUCCUUCAGCCUGAUGUUUACCUGUAAACAACUAAACUCCUGAAUUUAACCUUACUUGGGAGUGUGGUGCAUCUUCAAGGUGGUGGGAUGUGUUUCCUCCUAAAUCAAAGACCGUACACAAAGCUCUGUUUGCAGAUCCGCACACUGAACCUCCACAUCACUCCUCCACAACCUGUCCUGCUUCAGCCUGUGAGAGCUACACACAUUCAUGUUUCCCUGUCGUUGAACUUUAUGGGUUCAGUGUUUUCCGGCAAAGCUCAACCGCUCGUAAGCGCGUUAGCUUGGAGGUUUUUCUCACGGGCCCUCGAAUAGAGCAUGUCGGUGUGUCUCUGUGGGGCUGGAAAUAGCACAUUUAGCCCCGGCAGAGCGCAACAGAGCCCUUUUUAUAUGCUCGACUCGAGAUGGAAGGAAGGGGGAUACACUUACCUCAAUGGUUCUCGCAUGGAAACUCUGCCUGAUUUAUUUCUGGACCCAGCAGAAAAACUCUCCACUCCACCUUUGGGAAUUCUUGUGGCCAAAUUUUUUUUUAUGUGUGUGUGUUGAAUGAUGUUGAACAAUAUUAAGGGUUAAAGGGGAACACUACACAGAGAAGAUGGUUGGCUUUGUAACAUGUUGGCUGAACACAGUUGAACUUGAUCCCAGCUUAUCAACAUAGAUCGUAGCCGUUCUGUUUUCAGGUGCGUAUCCACACAGGGUCACAGAAAUGUGAAUGAGGUACUUGAGAGAAGGAGCUGUGCGGCUUCAUUCAGUUUUUUUCUUACAAAAACACUCCCUCUGAGUGCCUGUUAUUCAGAUUUCUGACUGUGGCACGCUCUGAGUCACUGGUUUUGUUGUUGAAGGACUUGCCAGUCGUAUGUGAAAAACACAAUCCUGCUCUGAAUGUCGAUCGAUGGACGACCAGCCAGACACGAGAUCCUCGCCAUCCCAUAAUCAGAAGUACUUUGUCAGCUGUGAGGGUUAAUGUUUACUGAAAUCACGGGGGGCGCACUGUUCGUGCUUUUCGGCUCCUGUUUUUGUGUGUUUGGUGUGUUUUUUUUUGAAUGUACAUCUGGGCUUCGCCAGAGACGUCACGCGAACAUUGUCCUCCUUUCCAAAUAUACUUGACUGAAGUGCUCUUUCGUGACCAACUGCUCUGAGUGAACGUGCAUGUGUUUGCCUUUUCAGGCCUCACACUUGAGUGCUGUCACCCACAGACCUCCACCUGUUCACUAAUGUGCUUUUACGGUCAUUCCUGAUGAUGAUGAUGAAAAUGAAGGGGAAGUAAAUGAAUGAGAACAAUGAAGGUAUGCAAUCAUAUCCCAGCAGUCAAAAUACUGAGCAGCACUAUUCCAUUGAAAGUUUGUUUUUUAUAAUUGUCCUGAUAUUUUUGUAUUAAAAGUAACCAAACUCUGAGUUUGGGCACAUUGUUGUGUGUAUGUGGCUUAUAUAGCAAAUGGAGAGUAAACUAUGUGUGUGAGUGUGCGUGCGUGCGUGUGUGUGUGUACCGAGUGGUCUCCUUUAACCAUGAAGCAUGUUUUAUACCUAUAAAUAUACACAGUAUAUAUAUUUUACAUGCCAUACAGUGCACAUUAUAUUAUUUAUACAGCCUUGUCCACUUUGUAUUUAAGGGCUUUACAUCCAGAUUGCAUGUUUGCUACCAAACAGCUCUAUAAUAAUAACCACUUCAAUAAAGACAUGGAUGUGC